UACAGAGGUCUCGAGCGUUAGGCGGAAUCACUGGGCUUAAAGCGUGUGUAGGCGGCUCGGUAAGUACCUUGUGAAAUCCCACAGCCUAACUGUGGAACUGCUUGGUAUACUGCCGGUCUUGAGCCAGCUAGGGGCUACCGGAACAAAUGGUGGAGCGGUGAAAUGCGUAGAUAUCAUUUGGAACGCCAAUGGUGAAAACAGGUAGCUGGGGCUGUGCUGACGCUGAGACACGAAAGCCAGGGGAGCAAACGGG
rnacentral:rRNA from 1 species